rnacentral:rRNA from 1 species
UACGGGGGGGGCAAGCGUUGUUCGGAAUUACUGGGCGUAAAGGGCUCGUAGGCUGCCAACUAAGUCGGACGUGAAAUCCCUCGGCUUAACCGGGGAACUGCGUCCGAUACUGGAUGGCUUGAGUCCGGGAGAGGUGAGUGGAACUGCGAGUGUAGAGGUGAAAUUCGUAGAUAUUCGCAAGAACACCAGUGGCGAAGGCGGCUCACUGGCCCGGUACUGACGCUGAGGUGCGAAAGCGUGGGGAGCAAACAGG